rnacentral:rRNA from 1 species
AGCCGGCCUGAGAGGGUGACCGGCCACACUGGGACUGAGACACGGCCCAGACUCCUACGGGAGGCAGCAGUGGGGAAUAUUGCACAAUGGGCGCAAGCCUGAUGCAGCGACGCCGCGUGAGGGAUGACGGCCUUCGGGUUGUAAACCUCUUUCAGUAGGGAAGAAGCGAAUGUGACGGUACCUGCAGAAGAAGCGCCGGCUAACUACGUGCCAGCAGCCGCGGUAAUACGUAGGGCGCAAGCGUUAUCCGGAAUUAUUGGGCGUAAAGAGCUCGUAGGCGGUUUGUCGCGUCUGCUGUGAAAGACCGGGGCUCAACUCCGGUUCUGCAGUGGGUACGGGC